rnacentral:rRNA from 1 species
UACGUAGGGGGCAAGCGUUGUCCGGAUUUAUUGGGCGUAAAGAGCUCGUAGGUGGUUCGGUAAGUCGGAUGUGAAAUCUCCAGGCUCAACCUGGAGGGGUCAUUCGAUACUGCCGUGACUAGAGUUCGGUAGGGGAGUGUGGAAUUCCUGGUGGAGCGGUGAAAUGCGCAGAUAUCGGGAGGAACACCUAUGGCGAAGGCAGCUCGCUGGGACGUUACUGACGCUGAGACGCGAAAGCGUGGGGAGCAAACAGG